AGCUUUGCACAGUGGCAGUAUCAUAGCAAAUGAGGUUUAUCCGAGGCACAAUUAUUGCUAAUUGAAAACUGUUUCCAAUGCCCUGCUGUGACGACUCGAAACAUAGUCAGCAUUGGCAAGAAGAAAUAAGUAAAUA
ensembl:snRNA U4 U4 spliceosomal RNA